GAAUUUUGCGCAAUGGACGAAAGUCUGACGCAGCAACGCCGCGUGGGGGAUGAAGGCCUUCGGGUUGUAAACCCCUUUCAGGAGGGAAGAAAUUGACGGUACCUCCAGAAGAAGCACCGGCCAACUACGUGCCAGCAGCCGCGGUAAUACGUAGGGUGCGAGCGUUAUCCGGAAUCAUUGGGCGUAAAGAGCUCGUAGGCGGUUCAGCAAGUCGGCUGUGAAAGUCCGAGGCUCAACCGCGGAAUUGCAGUCGAUACUGUUGUGACUCGAGUCCGGUAGAGGAGAAUGGAAUUCCCGGUGUAGCGGUGGAAUGCGCAGAUAUCGGGAGGAACACCAGUAGCGAAGGCGGUUCUCUGGGCAGGCACUGACGCUGAGGAGCGAAAGCGUGGGGAGCGAACAGG
rnacentral:rRNA from 1 species